GGUCCCGUAGCUUAACUGAAUAGAGCAUCAGAUUACGGCUCUGAAGGUUGAAGGUUUGAAUCCUUCCGGGAUCA
rnacentral:tRNA from 2 species